UACGUAGGCAGCGAGCGUUGUUCGGAGUUACUGGGCGUAAAGGGUGUGUAGGCGGUUGUUUAAGUUUGGUGUGAAAUCUCCCGGCUCAACUGGGAGGGUGCGCCGAAUACUGAAUGACUAGAGUGCGGGAGAGGAAAGUGGAAUUCCUGGUGUAGCGGUGAAGUGCGUAGAUAUCAGGAGGAACACCGGUGGUGUAGACGGCUUUCUGGACCGUAACUGACGCUGAGACACGAAAGCGUGGGUAGCAAACAGG
rnacentral:rRNA from 1 species